UACGUAGGGUGCAAGCGUUGUCCGGAAUUAUUGGGCGUAAAGAGCUUGUAGGCGGUUUGUCGCGUCUGCUGUGAAAUUUCGGGGCUCAACCCCGAACUUGCAGUGGGUACGGGCAGACUAGAGUGUGGUAGGGGAGACUGGAAUUCCUGGUGUAGCGGUGAAAUGCGCAGAUAUCAGGAGGAACACCGGUGGCGAAGGCGGGUCUCUGGGCAACAACUGACGCUGAGGAGCGAAAGCAUGGGGAGCGAACAGG
rnacentral:rRNA from 1 species